rnacentral:tRNA from 1 species
AUCAGGGUAACCUAGUGGACAUGGCAUCUGCCCGGUAAGCGGAACACUGUGGGUUCGAUUCCCAUCCCUGGACU